UACGGGGGGGGGCAAGCGUUGUUCGGAAUUACUGGGCGUAAAGGGUUCGUAGGUGGCCAACUAAGUCAGACGUGAAAUCCCUCAGCUUAACUGGGGAACUGCGUCUGAUACUGGAUGGCUUGAGUGCAGGAGAGGAACGCGGAAUUCCAGGUGUAGCGGUGAAAUGCGUAGAUAUCUGGAGGAACACCGGUGGCGAAGGCGGCGUUCUGGACUGCAACUGACACUGAGGAACGAAAGCCAGGGGAGCAAACGGG
rnacentral:rRNA from 1 species